CUUCAGCUUCCCCGUGUUGCGUUAUUUGUGAGGGGCAGACCAGUUCAGCUUCUGUCUCUUCACAUCCAACUCACUCGCCCUUUCUUCUUUCUUCCACUUUCUUAUCAUCCCGUUUCUACCAUAAUCCACGCUAUCUCUCUCGCCCUCUCGCUAGGAGGCUCUCUUUGCAGCUCCCUACUCUAAGAAGUCCCAUGCUCUCGGCCGCAUAAUCGUCCUCCGACGCAUCCACCUCCUCGGUUGCUUACAUUAGGGUUCUUGCCGACCUCCAUUCGUGCUUUUACAUUGCCAUCACCCUAUCAAAAUUUUCGGCAUGGCUGACACGCACAUGGAGAGUACACGCAGUUCGUGAUUACUGGCACUACCACUUUCAGAUAUAGAGCCUUUUUUUCAUAACUUACGCAGACCAAAAUUGGGGUUUGGGCAAAGUUGGUAAUAGCAUUACCUUAAUUGGAGCCCGAAAAAUGAAAUCCUUAACAACGCUUUGGAGCUCACUAGCAAGUGGAUCACAAUGUUCUGCUGAAUUUACCAGUGUUUCAGCUGGAUCUUCUAUCUAUCGGCCAUCGGUAAAGAAUGUCCAUACAUUAUUCAUUGAGGUCGUAAACUGGUUUAAUUGUGAAUUACUUUUCUUAAUCCCCUGUAAUAAUUUACUUUUUCUAUUGAUUUCUUAAGCAGUCAUUGUUGAAUUUGGUGGAUUGUGUUUAAGAUUUGUUUGUCGGCGUCGGCUA